rnacentral:rRNA from 1 species
GAUGAACGCUGGCGGCGUGCCUAGUACAUGCAAGUAGAACGCUGAAGGAGGAGCUUGCUCUUCUGGAUGAGUUGCGAACGGGUGAGUAACGCGUAGGUAACCUGCCUGGUAGCGGGGGAUAACUAUUGGAAACGAUAGCUAAUACCGCAUGACAACAGUUAUUGCAUGAUAACUGUUUAAAAGGGGCAACUGCUCCACUACCAGAUGGACCUGCGUUGUAUUAGCUAGUUGGUGAGGUAACGGCUCACCAAGGCGACGAUACAUAGCCGACCUGAGAGGGUGAUCGGCCACACUGGGACUGAGACACGGCCCAGACUCCUACGGGAGGCAGCAGUAGGGAAUCUUCGGCAAUGGACGGAAGUCUGACCGAGCAACGCCGCGUGAGUGAAGAAGGUUGUCGGAUCGUAAAGCUCUGUUGUAAGAGAAGAACGAGUGUGAGAGUGGAAAGUUCACACUGUGACGGUAUCUUACCAGAAAGGGACGGCUAACUACGUG